CCUCGGUCCCAUCAGUCGUGCAGAAGGUGCAGAAUGUAGCUUGUCGUUAUGCAAACUAAGCUAUCAAUCCAGUUUAAAAUGUACAAAUAUUGCAUUAUCUUUGAUCAAAGUACAAAAUUAAUUUUGUUUUUUGUUCUUGUAGUUUAAUGGCACUCAGCAUACGAGAGCUGUGUGAUGUUAAGUAUAAAUUAUAUUAUAAGUUGAAUAAUUUUUGUGUUUCUACAAAAUUGUAAGGAGCUGCAUAAGAAAUUCCCGAGAGAUCGAUCAUUACUCCUAUUGAUACCCAAAAUGGCAGUUCGUACAGUGGUUAAUGGUGAUGACACUCAAGUUUUCAUCAAUGAUAGUAGUGAACAAGUGAGGCAACGAGUGCUUGUUGUCAUAAAUUUAAAAUAGAACUCAGAUCAGCACAAAAAAUUGUUGAACUGCUAUAAGAAGUACCAAGAGAUUCUGUCCAACAUCAAAAUUGAGCCUAAUGACAGCAAACUGGACCUACAGAUAGCCCUCAAGAAAGCACGGAGACUGAAGCUGCAGGAGGCUGUACAGAAUCAAAGAACAGUGUAGAAAAGGUGGCAGAGUCAGUACUGGAGAGAAACUCAGAAGGAAACACGGAAGGUGGUUCCAUUGUGCUAAAUGCUACAGCAGAAUUCUGCCGUACGUUGAGUGAUGUCCCCAUUUAUGGCUGGCAACAGGGAUGAGGACACUCAGGAACUACUUGAAGAAGGAAAUGACUGAAGAGGAGAAACGUCAGGAAGAAGAAGGCAAACAUGGAGCUUGGAAUGAAGUUGAGAUUGAGAUGAUGAAAAGUUUGGGUGUCGUGAGGGUUACAGUGGUCCGACCUCAGACUUAAAAGAAAAGGAGGGCUACAAACCUAGUGUUAAACUCGACUACAUAGAUGAUGAUGGACACGUACUUAAUGCAAAGGAGACUUUCAGAUACCGGUCUCAUGAAUUUCAUGGAAAGGGACCUGGCAAAAAUAAAGUGGAGAAAACGAAUGAAGAAAACUGAACAGGAAGGAUUGAUGAAACAGAUGAGCUCAACAGACACCCACUCGGAACGCUUAGCCUCUUGCAGCAGAAGCAGAAAGAAAUGCAGUCUCCAUUCGUGGGCCUUAGUGGCGGUAAACAAACAUGAGGCAACCAUCUCAAAAACUAAACUGCAAAUUCUUCAUGAAAUGUGCUGGCACUAACUCUGAACUUUGGUGUGGACUUAUGUUUUAUCAUUUCUUACUGUCUGGAAUAUCAUCUCUAUUUUUAAAUAAGACACAGCUUGCAGCUGCCAACAGUGCCUAUGUGUACUGGAAGGAAGGCCACAGAGCUCAUGUCACAUUCAAAUGAGUACAGUGGUUCUCCUGCUGGCACCUGAAAGCUGAAAAGUACAAUUUCUAGUGAUUAGUUGCUUGCUUAUAGGAUUUGAGCCAGACAUACAGCCAAGCUAAAUCAUACAUGAAGUAAUUAUAUUAGACCUUUCUUGAAUGCAACAGCAAUAUUGUAUCCUUCCAAGGGAAGAAAGAAACCCUUGUUCAGGUGUAGACGAGUAUGAAAAGCUGUAAAA